UGUUCAUGAUUGCAACUCGUAUAGUUCCCUUUCUGAUGCAAACAUGACUGCUAUCUUCUUUACCAGGAGGAAUGCGCCAUGGUAGAAGCAGCAAAGCUUCAGAUUGAGCCAUCCCACAAAUACGAUCGAGUCAUUAAGCUGUUAAACUCCGUGGAAUACCAUUACAAUGUCAUGGUGUGGACAUGGGAAAAGUGGUUCACAUUUUCUUCUCCGGUUACUUUGCUCGUGAGCUUAUUUAGAAUUCGGUAAUAACAAUUAUAACCCAUGUAUUUGUCUGGCCAUU